rnacentral:misc_RNA from 1 species
CAGUUACCCGUUGGUCACCGUGGAGGGAGGACGUAUGCACUCGCCCCCUCCCGCUCCGAGCUGACUUACUUGCCUGCCUCGCUCCGCUCCUCGCGUUCGCCGCCGAGGAAGCCGCACGCGACGCUGCCCUCCCGAUAAGGACUUUCUGGGAACUUUACGGCUUUGUUAGUGAAGUUAAAGUGCUUGGAAGUAAAGGGAAAUAAAGGAAAGUGAAGGAAGAGAUCUUAGUGCUGUCGUAAAUGGUGAAAUUGAAGCUCUGAGUGAAUGAAAAGAGAGAGAAAAAGGUAAUCAUACAACACCGUGAUAUUUUGGUGAGUAGUCGUGUGUGCGUGAGUUCGUGCACGUGUUGUAGCCUUCUAAAGUGGACAGGAAAAAAAGGGUGCCAAGAAAUAUAUACCACUGAGAAGUAUACACCACUCAAGGCAGCGUGGCACAUGAGUAUCGCCUGGAGAAGGGUAACAUGUGGGGGCAGGCAGCGUGACGAGCGUGUCUACUGACCUCCUGCCUCUGUCUGUACCUCCUGCGCCACCUUCCCUGGGCACACCUGUCUCGCGGCCUAAUGACAUGAGGCGUAGGUGAGAUACGCCUCCGGGGGCCUCCUGAGAAAACAGGGAAAACUGUGUGUGUGUGCGUGUGUGCGAUAAAUAGAUAAGCAACAGAUAUAAACUUGAAGGCAUGGCGAGGAGGCCGCGGGUGGAGAAGGAGGAGGAGGAGGAGGAGGAUGUGGAGUGUAGUGGAGGUACAGGAUUCACGUUACCAGUCCAAUGUCACCACCACGCCAGCAGGGUAGUGGUGGUGGUGACGGUGGCGACUAUGAUGGUGAUGCAGGCCGCCACUCAAGCCUCCGCCGCCGCCACUAUCACCGCAGCCAUGCAGCACGGACUCGAAGAAAGCACUGAGGCUGAAGAGAGUCCCCUCUCAGUGGUGUUCGCGGUGGAGGGCGGCCGCGUGCUGCUACCCUGUGAUGUGUCCCCGCCCGUGCCUACCGACUCCACCAUCCUCGUCCUGUUCUACCACGGCGCUACGGGGACACCCAUCUACAGCAUCGACGGGCGGAGUGGCCUGAUCGAGGGCGGGCGGCACUGGCAGGACAAGAACAUGCUGGGUACUCGCGCUUACUUCGACAUGGCCUCUGAGCCGCCCGGUCUGGUGCUGCAGCCCGUCAAUGCCUCCGACCACGCCGAGUACCGAUGCCGGGUAGACUUCCGCUCCUCCCCCACCAGGAAUGUGCGCGUGCAGCUUGAAGUGAUAGUGCCGCCCAAGAAGAUCCGCAUUCUGAACGAGGAGGGCCUGGAAGUGAGCGGCGUGAUCGGUCCCUACCCACUCGGCGCCUCCCUCACCCUCAUCUGCCAGGUGGACACAGGUCGGCCCCGCCCCACACUGUCCUGGUUCUUUGAGGAGAAGCUGCUGGACGACGCGGUGGAGGUGCGGCGCGGGAAGGUCACCAGCAACACCCUUCACCUGCCCUCGCUUGACCGGAAUUACUUGUACCGAGUCCUCACCUGCCAAGCCUCCAACUCCAACCUGUCUGUGCCUGUCGCCGCUACCGUCACUUUGGAUAUGAGCUUCCCGCCGCUGGACGUGAGGAUCAUGGGGACGCGCGCCAGUCUAGCAGAGGGGCAGCGGUACGCCAUCGUGUGUGAGUCCUCAGGAUCCCGGCCCUCCGCGACUAUUACCUGGUGGAAGAACGGCAUGAUGAUGACUGACACCAAGAAUCAGAUUUUCAACGAAGGUAACGUGAGCCGCUCCACUCUCUACCUUACGCCGAGUUUGGCCGACGAUAAUGUGUACGUGUCAUGCCGCGCCAAGAACCCUCUGGUGCCUAACGCGGUGCUUGAGGACUCCAGGAAGCUAAACGUGCACUACACGCCGCGGCUGUCCCUGGCGGCGGGGCUCAACCUGGACAUGGAGGACAUCAAAGAAGGAGACGAUGUGUACUUCGAGUGUGGAAUUAAAGCCAAUCCACCAGUGUUCAAAGUGCAGUGGUUCCAUAACGGCGAGGAGCUGAACCACAACGUGUCGGCGGGUUUGAUCCAGAGCAACCAGAGCCUCGUGCUGCAGCAGGUGACGCGGCGCUCCUCUGGCCAGUACACAUGUUCCGCCACCAACCUCCAUGGCAUCGGCAGCUCCAACGCAGUGCAGCUCAGCGUCAAGUUCGCCCCCACGUGCCGGCCCGCUCAGAAGAUAGUGUAUGGAGUCGGAAAACACGAAGAGCUCAACGUUACCUGCAGUGUUGAAGCGCAUCCAGAGCCGGCUUCCUUCAGGUGGGCGUUCAACAGUUCUUCAGAGGUGGUGGACAUUCCCUCUACCAAGUUCUGGGUGGUGGGUAACGGUAAGAGUCAAGCCUCGUACACUCCCCGCACGCACCUUGACUACGGCUCGCUGUUGUGCUGGGCUAACAAUGAGGUGGGAAGACAGCAGGAACCUUGCAUCUACCACAUCAUCCACGCCUCCACCCCGGAGCCCGUCAACAACUGCACAGUACAGAAUGUGAGCUCGACCAGCGCCUCGGUGCGGUGUCAAGCGGGCUGGGAUGGAGGCCUCGCGCAAACCUUUACCCUCUCCGUCACACCUGCCCGUGCCUCCGCCCCGAACUCCGGCACCAGGGACGACGAGGGCAAGAAGGAAGCCGCGCCAAGGGUCCUCGCCAACACCUCCACCUCUCCGAAGCCUGAGUUCUACCUGACGGGGCUGGAGCCUGGGACCAAGUACGUGCUGACGAUCAUGGGCGUGAACAAGAAGGGCGAGAGUGAGCCAAUGCGUCUGGCCAUCUUUACUCUGAAGGACGUGGCUGAGAAGAGGACCAGCCCAGGUACGGGCUUGCUGGCCUUCACGCCCAUCCUAGCUGUGCUGCUGGGCGUGGUGGUGUCUCUCAUCCUCAUGGCGCUGGUCAUCGCCCUAGUGGUCAGGUCACGGCGGCCGAGGGACAACCGGAAGCAGGAGGUCAAGAUGGUUUACGACAAGGGCGCGUCUGGGUCAACCACUGCACCGCUGAGAGGAGCCACGGCCGCUGAUGAUGAGGACCUCUCAUCGACCGCUGGCGCUACAGCUAACGAGGACUCCAACCCCGACGUGAUCCCCGUGAACGAUGACCACCAGGUGAAGGAGCUACAGACGCACACAUACACCGCCGAGACUUUGCCUAUGACAGAAAUCCACCAGCGCCACCAGCAGCUGCAGAAAUCUCCGCCCACCUCCCCAGCAUCCAGCCAGCUCAUGUCCAGCCCGCAGCAGCAACAACAGCAGCUGGCAGGGACGGCAGAGUACUUACAGGGUCACGAUGGAUCCUUCUACAUCAACCCUGGGAAUCUGAUGCGGCAGAAGGGUAUGUCGGUGGUGCCGCGUGAGGGAGGAGACCCCGGGACGCUGCUUCACAUGGGGCGUCCUCUGGCAGCCUCCUCGCCCGCAGCCCGCGCCGCCCCGCCCACACUAGGCAUGUUGAGCAGCAGCAGCAGCGGCACGGCCACCCCAGAGGGCGCAGCGACACCCCUACUGGACCACCCUCGCAAGGCCGCAAGAGGCAGUCUCCGGGACGACCCCCGCGAGGCCCCGAUAAGAUCACUACCGCUCGAAAGCUUCCUACGAGAUUCCCCCAGCAGCUCAAAGUUAAGCACCUCCAAGAUCAGUGCCUCGAGCAGCUUCCGGAUGCCUCGCUCAAAGAGCCCCUCAGAGACCUGCAGGAGUGUUUCCGGCAGCUUGAAGAACGGAGACCCAAGGAGGAGUCCCACGAGGACACAUCUCAGUCCCUCAAGAAGCUUCAAGCUGGAACUUCCCGAGAGCGCCAAACAGGCUCUCAGCGCUCACAGGAGGGAGGGGCCCGGCAGUUUCAAGGGAGAACUGUCAGUGCGCUCCAAGUUAGAGGUGCCGGAACCAGUGCGACGCAAUUCCAUCGGCAGCAUCGGGCCAGGGAUGCCGGAGGGCCUGAUAGAGAUCCUGACGAAGGAACAGUCAAAGUGCCGUCGACGGGAAUCCCUGGAGGUCCCGAGCCUCUUCAGCAAAGAUCGCACGGGCGCCCUAAGACGAGGCUCCAUCGGCAGCUUCGGGAUCAUCACUCCAGAGAACGUGAGGAAAUCCUCUCUGGGAAGCUGCAAGGUUCACUCCACACAGAGAAGUCCCUCCGGAAGUCUGAGAAGCCCCAGCAAGAGCAGCAGGAAGGACUCACUCGGCAGCCUGGCAGGGGACUCUCCAAGGAAGAGCCCCUCAGACAAUUACAAGAACGAUUUCGGGAAUUGCAAGCUUCACACGCCAAAGCGAAGCCCUUCCGAGGGAUUUCAGAGAGAGGUCAAGGGAAGCCUCAAACUGGAGCCCCCGACCAAGAGCUCGUCCUUCUGCUUCCAGAGGGAGACAGCGCGCAGCUUGAAGAUAGACCCAAGCAGGAAUGUGGCGGAACUAAUCCAAAGAGAAUUUUCGAGGAGCCUCAAGGUGGAGUCCUCGAGGAGGAGUCCCUCGGGUGGUCAUCAAAGAGAGUCACCGAGUGCGAGGAAGAGUCCCUCUGGGAGCUACAAGAGUCCCUCCGGCAGCUUCAAGGCCCUAGCAGAGAACCAGCACCUACGGAGGAAGAGUUGCUCAGGCGGCUUCGUCUUGGAGGCCCCGAAGAGAGAGUCCUCGGGAGGCUUAAGCGCAGAGGCUCCCAGGAAGGGUUCGACGGGAAGCUUCAAACUAGAAACACCAAAAGUGAGUCCAUCGGGCAGCACAUCAAGGGAGUCCCCGGGGAGCCGCAUGCUGGACACGUCCCGGUGCUCCAGGAAAGGCUCUUGGGCCAGCCCCACCGGAGGCUCCCCCAACCGCCACAGAAGGAGCCCACAGUGGUCCUCCCCACAGGAAGCCGGAGCUCUCGUGCUAGCCUCGCCAGGAAGCCUCAUGGUGGACCCGCCAUGGAGCACCCGGAAAAGCUCUCUGGGCACCCUGUCGGCCAGGCCGGCGUCUCUGGAGAGUCUCCUGUCGACCUCGGAGCUAGGCGCAGUGGUGCAAGUGUCCCCCGGCAGCGGCGAAACGGACGUUCUCGGCAACUUCAAGAUCGACUCAUCCAAGGAAGGUCACCUGGUGGUGACCCAGAUGAAGGGAUCACCCUCCUCUCAACAAGGUUCUAGUCAGCCAGACAAACUACGCAUUGUCUGCCCUCUGGACACCAAGAUCAGAAUAGAGCUUAAGAUGGACUAACUCAACGCAGUCUCUGAAGAUGAAGAGUGAACGCACGAUCCUGCGGGGAUGGGUAGACUCAGAGCCAGUAAGCUUAGCACUGUUGUGAUGUUGGGUGUGUAUGUGUAUGCGCUGCGAGGGAAUGCUGCUGUGAACAAUAGCACAAACAUACCAACGGCAAGAUAAAUUACCUAUUUCUCAGCUGGGAAAUCCUCAACUUGUAAUGAGGAAUUCCCACACAAACAUGUAGUGUAAACAAAGACCGAACCGGAAAACGGUGAGGAAGUGCAUGCAGUGACUGGAGUGCGUGUGUGAGCCGAGGACCAGCCACCGAUGCACGCUAGUGAGUCAAAACACAUGGUGUUUAUGUGGAAUACCUCUCAUGGACUGCACUGAGAGAGAGAGAGAGAGAGAGAGAGAGAGAGAGAGAGAGAGAGAGAGAGAGAGAGAGAGAGAGAGAGAGAGAGAGAGAGAGAGAGAGAGAGAGAGAGAGAGAGAGCGUGGGAGAGUGUAUUCAUUAUUCAGACAAAAUAUAAUAAAAAAAAGUAUUCACGUGUGGUUAGCGUGGAAUAGAGUCAUUUGUUUAACGCGAUGACGAUGAUCCUAUUAAUGGAAUGUCUUUAUUUUCAGUGUUAGUAUUGACAUUUACAUUCAUUACCACUAGUGUUCCCUCGCCGACACUUCACCUUUUUUGGUACAAGACUUACGCAAUUGUGACCCUUCAAUGUUACUUUUUUAUUAGACAAGGAGAAAGAGGAGAAAGAGUAGGAGGGGGAUGAAGAGGAAUUAGAGGAAGAGUACGAAGAUAAGGACGAUACGAGAAGAGGGGAUAUAAUAUAACAAUGGGUAUUAUUAGAAAGGUCGUUCAGUCUCUAUACAAAGCGUCACCACAACCACAACAAAUACCA